rnacentral:rRNA from 1 species
AUUGAACGCUGGCGGCAGGCCUAACACAUGCAAGUCGAGCGAGCGGCUGACGGGUGAGUAAUGUAUGGGGACUGCCCGAUAGAGGGGGAUAACUACUGGAAACGGUAGCUAAUACCGCAUACUAUCGGAUAACCCAUAUGGGAGUAGCUAGUAGGUGGGGUAAUGUCUCACCGGGGCGACGCGCCCUAGCUGGUCUGAGAGACUGAUCAGCCACACUGGGGCUGAGACACGGACUAGAGUCCUGCGGAGGCAGCAGUGGGGAAUAUUGCACAGUGGGGGCAAGCCUGAUGCAGCCAUGCCGCGUGUGUGAAGAAGGCCCUGGGGUUGUAAAGUACUUUCAGGCGGUAGGCGUUACCGGCAGAAGAAGCACCGGCUAACUCCGUGCCAGCAGCCGCGGUAAUUC